GAUGAACGCUGGCGGCGUGCCUAACACAUGCAAGUCGAGCGAGGGUUUGCUCAGUAUUGAGUAUUCUAAGUCUAGAAUGUUCAAUUCUGAGCAAAACCAAGCGGCGGACGGGUGAGUAACGCGUGGGUAACCUGCCCUAUACACAUGGAUAACAUACUGAAAAGUUUACUAAUACAUGAUAAUAUAUAUUUGCGGCAUCGCAGAUAUAUCAAAGUGUUAGCGGUAUAGGAUGGACCCGCGUCUGAUUAGCUAGUUGGUGAGAUAACUGCCCACCAAGGCGACGAUCAGUAGCCGACCUGAGAGGGUGAUCGGCCACAUUGAAACUGAGACACGGUCCAAACUCCUACGGGAGGCAGCAGUGGGGAAUAUUGCACAAUGGGCGAAAGCCUGAUGCAGCAACGCCGCGUGAACGAUGAAGGUCUUCGGAUCGUAAAGUUCUGUUGCAGGGGAAGAUAAUGACGGUACCCUGUGAGGAAGCCCCGGCUAACUACGUGCCAGCAGCCGCGGUAAUACGUAGGGGGCUAGCGUUAUCCGGAUUUACUGGGCGUAAAGGGUGCGUAGGUGGUCCUUCAAGUCGGUGGUUAAAGGCUACGGCUCAACCGUAGUAAGCCGCCGAAACUGGAGGACUUGAGUGCAGGAGAGGAAAGUGGAAUUCCCAGUGUAGCGGUGAAAUGCGUAGAUAUUGGGAGGAACACCAGUAGCGAAGGCGGCUUUCUGGACUGCAACUGACACUGAGGCACGAAAGCGUGGGUAGCAAACAGG
rnacentral:rRNA from 1 species